CCGCAGCUAUCUUCUUCGCUUGAAUCGACUAUGGUAUCUUGGUUUUGUUCGAAUAUCUAUCGAUUGAUUCUCGUAGUUUUGUUUAUAUCUGGUUUUGUUUUGUUUUCGAUUUUGAUUGGAUUAAGAUGCAUCUGUUUGAUUUACCAACUCCUCUAACUGGUCGAGUAAAAUCACUAAAGAGUGGUAGAGGAGUUAGAACGGAUGCUGAUAGUGAAAAGGUUAUCUUACCAACCCAUUGCUAUUUCUGCAGCUUUGGCGUCAAAUGAAUCGACCUAUACCUCUUUUUUUUUUUUUUAUCUUUCUUUUGAUUGGCAAAUGAAGAAUUGAUUAAUUUAUGCUUAACCACUGAUUAACAGUGUUGACAAAACAUCUCCGCUUAUUAUCUGAUGCCAUAAUUCGAAUUUUAGUUUUAUCCUUUUUUUUUUGUUGCGAUCAAAAACAAUGAUGAGAUAUUAGCAGACGGGCGGUCUGAAUUGAUGCCGUGUAGAUUGUCUGCCAUCGCUACAAUAUCGUAGCUUCUCUGAGUAUUUGAUGAUCUAUUAUUACUUUUGAUUUGAUUUUUGUUUUUGCGAUGAUGAAGUUGCUAAUAUAUAUGUCUGGACUUAUGAGAUUAUUCAAUCUUUGAAAUGAUUGUGCAACCUUCUGAGCUUACUACCGAUAUUUUUCCAUAAAGUUGAGUUUGUUUUGAGAAUAUGAAAAUCGUUUUUUAUCAACAGAUCGGAAGUGAAUUAAGUUUAUAAAUUCUGAUAAAUUGAAGAAACAUAUCACUCUAUGAAUUUGCUAGCUUAAUUUAGUUUAACUGUAAUUAAUAAAUCAACACUACCCAAUAAGCUGAUAGUCGCUUUGAUUGAACAUUAGUUGAACUUUAUACGACAGAAACUGCGAACCUGUGCUGUUCAAAUUGAUGCUCGGUUUCUUUGAUGUCAGUGAAUAUAAAAUUGACUUUGGACCGCUGGUUUAGAUUGUUUUGUGAUUCUCAGUUCAGAGGAAUUUUGUUAUACUAACUAGGAAGUGAAUCACAAUUCACAACACCCAACCAUAAUUAUAUUGUAGUUAUGCGCUUGGAUGGAAUUUUCCAAGUGGAUUUGGUGCAUGCAUUUGAGAUUUGUCAGAUUGUACAAGUCCGAAAGUGGUGGUGCUUCAAGUGUAUUGUGCUUCACAGGAUUGUUUUUGACUCUGAUUAUUUAGGUUCAUCUUUGUGUUUUAGUUGUGUUGUUGCAUUCAAAUUUCAUUGUAAUGUAACAAUCUUGUCACUUUCUCUAUAAAAUUCUCAAGUGAAAAUUUUAUAUCUGUUUAUAUUCAAACCUCUUCUAUUUGUUGUAUAACUUGUAAUCCGUAUAGUUUAUUGGGCCUGGUUGGAUCCGUAGUAAAGAUGUAUCUUUGUUUUUUGGGGGCUUAUU
rnacentral:lncRNA from 1 species